CGGACCUUUUUGAAUUAAAGAAGUUGCAUUUCUUUGAUUAUAAAAAGCAUCUCUUGAAAUCUUAGCUUUGCCUGCGUUAAGGGAAGAAGGAGCAUGUCAACAGCCAGGAGGAGAUCCUGUUCUCAGAGACAGCGAUGCUCAGAAGCAAUGCAGUUGCGAAGAACAUCUUUGCCACACGAAAAUGCACUGCACCGCACGGUUAUUCUUUACCAGGUACAAUUUAUUUCUUCAUCAUGUUAGUGAAGCCAAAGAUUCAAGAUUUCAUUUUCGUUGGCUCUCAUUCAUUGAAGACAUGUUUCUUUUUUGCUUGUUAAUUACAUGACUGUUCUUUUCAUGAAUUGUUAAGUAGCAAGGAGAUAUGCCCAAAAUAUAUCAUGGGUAAUGCUUAGUGUUGUUUGUUGCUUGGCCUCCUCUACAACCGGAAUUCUAUGUUCCAGAAAUGCAUAUGUGUGUAAUUGGAAUCCAAAACAUGGGUGGAGCAUACUCUGGGCAGGAAAUUUGCUGGGUUUGUAAUUAUUUUAAGGUGCCAACCGACCACCACUGUGCUCUCAUGCAUAUAUUCAAACUUACAAAAGGCUGGGGUUGCCCAGAUGAGUUCUUUGUUGCUUUUGGUAGAAGGAAUUUUGACAAAAUAGAAACACAUAAACAAUUACUGCUUAUUAAGAAAUCACAAUUAUUAUCUUUCCCAGUUCCUGAUCUAAUCGUUUUGCUUGACUGCAGCCUCACUUGCGAACAUAUUUGGGAUCAUCCAAUUUUUGUAAUAAAAUUGUGAUCAUGUAGUACAGGUGGCGAUCAUCAUACGUGAUAAAUUGCACCAUUUCCAUGUGGGAUCCUGAGAUGUGGUUUUUAGGCAUGUUGAACAUGCUAGGAGGCCGAUACUGCCUCAACAGAGAGCAAGGCCAUAGGCCCAGUCCAGGAUUUCACCUAGGUUUUGUUGAAGGAUUAGGAGGAGAGCAAAGGUUCGAGGUUAACUUGGAAGUUCUGUUGGUGGUCUAGCAGUUUAUGCCUUAGCAUCUGCAAUAGAAAAGUUCUGCAAUGGUCGCAAGGCCAUAAACCGUGGUAAUGACGGAAGAAAGCAAAAAGUAGUUGAAAGAACUUUCCAAGAAAGAAGCAUCGGCAACAUUGCCUUGGAACCCAACGAGUCAUGAAUAUUAGAUUCUAAAUGUUGCUAGAACUGCAAUUCUUUGCUUUUACUGAUGAUUUCAAUAUCUUACAGGGUACAACCAAUGAUGUGACAGCCUUUCUAAUCCUUGGAAGAAGAAGAUAAAAGACUUAGCGACUCCGAUAUUUCAAGAGUGGGUCAAAAAUUUAAUACAGUGAUGGUGAUUAACAAGGGAGGGGAGGCACCCAUUUUUGUUAUUUGGACAGGGUACAACCAAUGAUGUGACAGCCUUUCUAAUCCUUGGAAGAAGACAGAUAAAAGACUUAGCGACUCCGAUAUUGUAAGAGUGGGUCAAAAAUUUAAUUCAGUGAUGGUGAUUAACAGGGGAAGGGAGGCACCCAUUUUUGUUAUUUGGAAAAUUCAGGCAGUGCGACUACCAAUAUACUCAUGACUAGAGCAGAAGACCUCUUAAUUAGUAUUGGAAUAAUAACAUAAAAGGUUAGCCCUUAUAUUCACAUUUGCUGAAACUUGAUUACCAGUCUGAGGAUGCACAGCCAUUACAGUAAUGUUGAUGAAACAAUAUUUCUUCUUAUUUACUUUAGGAAGAAGCUGGUGAAUUCACGUCUACAUGUAGCCACUAGCUUUCGAUUGCUGCAAAUAUGCAUAUUGGGUAAUUGCACUUGUUUGAGGAGGUUGAGUGAUGUAAACAUAGACUAAGACUUGGUCAUGGGAAAUUUCUACUGAGGGUUACUUCCCUGCUUCAUAAAUUCCCCAGAAACUCGAAUAGGUACUCACUUCCUAUGUAUUUCCUUCAACUUUUUUAAAAUUCAUUUGCUUGUAUUCAUUUCUGCAUCUACUCCCAGUUUUGGCAACUAAGGUUUAAAGCAUGACAUACCUAGAGACAUGGUGUCAAAGGAUGAGCUUCUCAUAAUGGAAUCAUCGGAAUACAGAACAAAAUCAUAAACUUGCAAAAAUAAUGUGCUUGCUUCCUGGUACACCUUACAG
rnacentral:lncRNA from 1 species